GACGAACGCUGGCGGCGUGCUUAACACAUGCAAGUCGAACGGAAAGGCCCUGCGUUUGUGGCGUGCUCGAGUGGCGAACGGGGGAGUAACACGUGAGUAACCUGCCCUUAACUGUGGGAUAACUUCAGGAAAAAGGGGCUAAUACCGGAUAGGAGCUCCUGAUGCAUGGGGGUGGUUGGAAAAUUUCGGCGGUGGGGGCUGGACUCGCGGCUUAUCAGCUUGUUGGUCAGGUAGUGGCUUACCACGGGUUUGACGGGUAGCCGGCCUGAGAGCGUGACCGGCGACCUUAGUCCUGCGAUAGGCAGCAGAAUCGAACCGGCCGCAGCAGUCGGGAACGUUGCAGAGUAGGGCGGCGUGUGAUGUAGAGAUGUUCGGAUCGUGAUACCGUGUUUUGAGUUAUAAACCGCUUUGGCAUGUGCCGAGCACUUCUUGACGGUACUGAGUCAAAAAGCCACGGCUAACUACGUG
rnacentral:rRNA from 1 species